UUUUUUUUUUUUUUUUGUCUUUUUGCCAUUUCUUGGGCCGCUCCCAUGGCAUAUGGAGAUUCCCAGGCUAGGGGUCUAAUCGGAGCCGUAGCCACCAGCCUACACCAGAGCCACAGCAACGCAUGAUCCGAGCCGCGUCUGCAACCUGCACCACAGCUCACGGCAAGGCCAGAUCAUUAACCCACUGAGCAAGGGCAGGGACCGAACCGGCAACCUCAUGGUUCCUAGUCGGAUUCGUUAACCACUGCACCACAACAGGAACUCCAGGAACUGAAUUUUAAUUAAGUUUAAAUUUGAAUAUCCAUGUGGCUAGUGGCCACCAUAUUGGACAGAACAGAUACAAAACAUUUCCAUCACUUCCGCAGGAGGUUCUGUAGACAGCAUUGCUAUAGAAGACAUCUAGCCAAUUCCAGAAGCCUCAUCUCAUAGCUAUAGGCCAUCUUAAAUUUAUUGUUGGGCUGCCCUUCAAAACGAAAAUCCAUAUAAACGUUUUUUCUUUUCUUUUUUCUUUUUGUCUUUUCCAGGGCUGCUCCCUCAGCAUAUGGAGGUUCCCAGGCUAGGGGUCUAAUCGGAGCUGUACCCGCCAGCCUAUGCCACAGCCACAGCAACACCGCUUCCAAGCCGCAUCUUCGACCUACACCACAGCUCACGGCAAUGCUGGAUCCCCAACCCACUAGGCAAGGCCAGGGAUCGAACAUGCAACCUCAUGGUUCCUAGUCAGAUUCGUUAACCACUGAGCCACAAUGGGAACUCCUCUUUUUCUUUUUUCUUUUUUAGAAAUUCAGAGCACAUCUUUCCAUAGAUGAGCCAAGGAAAAGCCUUAGCGGGAGUUCCUGUUGUGGCUUAGUGGGUUAAGAACUUGACAUAGUAUCUUUGAAGAUGUGGGUUUGAUCCAUGGCCUCACUCAGGGGCUAAGGAUCCUGCAAGGCCACAAGCUGUGGUGUAGGUCACAGAUGCGGUUCACAUCUGGUGUUGCCAUGGCUGUGGUAUAGGCUGGCAGCUGCAGCUCUGAUUCAACCCCUAGCCUGGGAAUUCCAUAUGCUGCAGGUGCAGCUGUAAAAAGAAAAGAAAAAAGAAAAGCGCUAGCAAUCCAUCAUCAUUGAGCCAAGAUGUAACAUAAAUGAUGGGCCAGAUACUGAACUCUAAAAGUAGCUCAUAAUCUAUGAUAUAACUAAUAAACAUCGUGACGACAGGAAGCACUGGAAGCAGGGGAUCAGAAACCAGUCCUGGUGAGGUCAGCGAAGGAAUUCUGGAGAAUGAAAAAGCUAAGAGGUGGCCAGACCAAGAAGGGUGAGAUAGAACACAGGCAGAGAAAGAAAGAUGUUACCGGCAGAGGGAGAAGUAUGCCCAGAAGAAAGGUUAAGAGCUUUUGAGUAAAGUGAUGCCAUGUGAUGGAAUUUGUGGGAGCCUAUGGGAGAAGGCAGAAAAGAAGGCAGUGGCCAAGCCAAGUCCUACUGGGCCUAAUAUGUCAUCAUAACAGCUUGUUCGUGUGUAGUGUCAGGAUUGGUUGGAACACAAAUAAUAAAGGCCCAGUAAUAAUGCCUAAGAUUCCAAUCACCAAUUAAGAUGAUCAGAAUGGGUUUCCCACACAUGUCCAAGCAAUUCUCAGACAUACCAGCGGGCUGCCCUACAAUUCCACUCUAUUCUGACACUAUCUACCUGGAGGUAGCAUCAGAUCCCACUGCCUAAGGGCUCAGUCCCACAAGACGGCCCACUACUUCCAAUGCCAAUCACGAGUCUAGUUUGUUACCUGUGCUUUUGACCAACUGGCUUAAAUCAGAGGUUCCCAAGACCUUAGGCUUGGAAGUGAUUAAUUAGUUACAAUCAAAUGUUAGGAAAAUUAAAAAAAAAACUCAGAAAAAUGGGCAAAAUUUAACAGAAACUUCAUAAAAUUAUUAUUAUUAUUACUAUUAUUAUUUUGGUCUUUUGUCUUUUUAGGGCCUCAUCUGUGGCAUAUGGAGGUUCACAGGCGAGGGGUCUAAUCAGAGCUGUAGCCGCCAGCCUAUGCCACAGACACAGCAAGGCCGGAUCCGAGCCGCUUCUGUGACCUAAACCACAGCUCACGGCAAUGCCGGGUCCUUAACCCACUGAGCAAGGCCAGGGAUCGAACCUGCAACCUCAUGGUUCCUAGUCGGAUUCCUUAACCACUGAGCCACGACGGGAACUCCCACAUUUUUUUUAUAAAGUUAUUUCUAAAUAACCUAUAGAUAUAUGAAAAGGUAUUCAACUUCAUUAAUCAGGGAGGUGCAAAUUAAAAUCACAGGAGAUACAAUUAUCACCUAUCAAAAUGGCCAAAAAAAGAUGGGAAAUAACCAAUGUUGAGAAUGUGGAAUGACCAACUCUCAUAUGUUGCUGAUCAGGGUGUAAAUUGGCACAAACACUUUGGAAAAUUGCUUUAAAAUAUCUACUACAUUUGAACAUGGCACAAUUACAAUCCAACAAUUCCACUUCUGUGUAUAUACCCAAUAUGAUGUGUGUACUUCUCUGUAGGUAUGAAUAUUUCAACAAACAGCACACUCUGCCAGAAAGUGGCAAUAAGGAGCCACGGAAGGAUUUGACAUUUCAGAGACUUGAGAAGGAUUUGAGAGACAUGAUCAGAUUUACAUUAGGGAGAUUAAUCCUUGGCUUUUAGAGGAUGGCAAGGAGAGGAGUUAAGGGGCUUUUUGUAGAAGUAAUCCAGCAAUUACAAAGUCCCAAAUUAAAGUAAGGGAGAGAAGUUCCUGUUGCGGUGCACUGGAAACGAAUCCGACUAGGAACCAUGAGGUUGCAGAUUCCAUCCCUGACCUCCUUCAGUGGUUUAAGGAUGCAGUGUUGCCUGAGCUGUGGUGUAGGUCACAGACACGGCUUGGAUACCACAUUGCUGUGGCUGUGGUGUAGGCAGGCAGCGACAGCUCCAAUUGGACCCCUAGCCUGGGAACCUCAUAUACUAUGAGUGCGGCCCUAAAAAGCAAAAAAAAAAAUAAAUAAAUAAAAAAGUAAGACGGAUGAAAGGGACAGACUAGAGUUCAUAUUUGGGGAGCAAACUCAGAACGUGGGUAGGUCACAAAAUUCCCCUGUGCUGCUGCUGCUUUUUUUUUUUUUUUAAACUUUUUAGGGCCACACCCACAGCUUAGGGAGGUUCCCAGGCUAGGGGUGGAAUGUGAGCUGCAGCUCCUGGCCUACACCACAGCCACAGCAGUGCCAGAUCUGAGCUAAGUCUGUGACUUACGCCACAGCUUUCAGCAAUGCUAGAUCCCCCACCACUGAGGGAGGCGAGGGAUGGAACCCACAUCCUCAUAGAUACUAACUGGAUUCCUUGCCGCUGCUCCACGACGGGAACUCCCUAAAUUCCCCUGAGCUUCUGAUUUCUUCACAUGAAAAAAAUAUUAACAGUACCUAUUUCAUUGAUGAUUAUUUUGAUGAUUUAAGAGUUAAGCACAGGGGGCUUAGCGAUUUUUUUUUUUUUUUAAAGCGCCAUUUUCAGAGUUCCCAUUCUGGCUCAAAGGGUUAAAAACCAGACUAGUAUCUGUGAGAAAGCUGGUUCAAUCCCUGGCCUAGCUCAGUGGGUUAAGGAUCCUGUGUUUCCCCAAGCUGCAACGUGGGUCGCAAGUGUGGCUUGUUUCUGGUGUGGCUGUGACCGUGUCUGGCUGGCAGCUGCCGCUGGGAUUUGACCACUAGCUUGGGAACCAACAUAUGCCAUAGGAGCGGCCCUAAAAAUAAAAUAAAAUAAAAAUUUAAAAAGUAAAAAAUAAAAAAAUAAAAGAAAUUUCCAUUCAAUUCUCCUUGCAUACUAUUAGAAAUUGAGAUUAGAAAGCUUUUAGAGAAGUACCUUAAUUUGUCAAGGUCCACGGAAGCAUGCAUCCUCCCAAGCAGAGGCAAAAUCAGCUCCCUGCGUAGGACUGGGUAAGUUUGGGGUCACAGGUUAGAAGGCCCUGGUUAAGGAUGAGACAGAAGAUGUCAGAAUCAGGCCCUGAAACAGUCCUAAAAUGCCACGGAUGAAGUGUUGGGAUUCUACUCAGGCUGCUGGACCACCUGCACUAGAAACUGGAGGCAAGCAUAGGCGUUUUCUCUCUGGCUCCCCACCUUCCCAGCU
rnacentral:lncRNA from 1 species